GAUGAACGCUAGCGGGAGGCCUAGCACAUGCAAGCCGAGCGGUAUUGUUUCUUCGGAAAUGAGAGAGCGGCGUACGGGUGCGGAACACGUGUGCAACCUGCCUUUAUCUGGGGGAUAGCCUUUCGAAAGGAAGAUUAAUACUCCAUAAUAUAUUGAACGGCAUCGUUUAAUAUUGAAAGCUCCGGCGGAUAGAGAUGGGCACGCGCAAGAUUAGCUAGUUGGUGAGGUAACGGCUCACCAAGGCGAUGAUCUUUAGGGGGCCUGAGAGGGUGAUCCCCCACACUGGUACUGAGACACGGACCAG
rnacentral:rRNA from 1 species